AUAUGUGCUUCAUAGCUUCUACCUCGUUAAAUAUUAAACUAGAAGUUAUAGUUCUACUUAAAAUCCUUGACCCUAACAUUAAGCAAUAUUGGAACUCCCAAGAUUAUUGAUUAUUAUAAAAUAGAAUUUCCAAAACUAUAAUAUGUAUCAUGCAUUCUAUUUUGUAUACCUUAUAAUAAAGCUACAUUAAACACAUUUCCGAGCAUUGUUUCCAAUUACCAAAUUGUCACUUGUGG
rnacentral:lncRNA from 1 species